rnacentral:lncRNA from 1 species
UGCCAGUUUACCACUGGCACUGCCCUCGGAUCAAGAGAUGAAAAGUGGAGUCGUUUGUCUGCUUCGACCAUGAGGAACGCGUGGCCGACGCUUGUUUGAUGUAAUAUCCGUGAAGACGCAGGCAGUAGCUCGUAUUAGCUGACAAACGUGAAGAUCAGUUUCUGGACCUCACCACCAUCGGACAGCAACAGCGUUCUGUAUCUGUUCAGUAGCUUCGUGCAUCGAUGUUACACAAACUACAAUGAAAGGAUUUUAAAUGUGUUAGCCGGCUGUUAUCGCGGAGUUUAACACAAAUUGGUGCUAAGACGUUGCACUGCUGACUUCGUUGGACGUUGCGGACCAUUCGUGCAAGAGGAUAACACUGGUAUAUCCAUCAUGAUCGGAACAAUACUUAACGGGAUAUUCAGACACGUUCCUGAUACGUACCUCAUUAUCUUGAUAUGAUAAGUAUCAUAUCAUUAUCUAAUGACAAUUUGAGAAGCACUAGGGAAAGCCCUGCUUCUUACUGAUGCGGCGAUGGGAAUACUACAAACUGAGGUUGAUGGACCCGGGCUUAUCAGUAGAACUUCAAUUUAGUGGUAUACGAUCGGAUUUGAGCACUUUUAUCUAACAGAAAUGAACGCAGGAAGAAAAACAGCUUUUCGAGCCGAAAAUCAACAUUUAGCGGUUAAGUUUUUGCCGUUCAAAGGGCCGCAGCGUUACGGAAAUACAUCGAAUAUUGGUAAAGACAUGUGCGAAUGAAUGGAGACCGCAGUGCUGAAGACCGGUGAGGAAGUGAUCGGAUGUCGGCGCCUGAAAGACGAAAAUGCGUUGUUACAAUCGAGAAAGCUCUUUACGAAAAUAGAGCUUGGGGUCAAAGGGUUCCGCCAGUCAAAACUGGCAUUUCAUUAGUAACAUGUUACAAGAUUAUAAUCAAUCAAAUACUGAAAAAUUGCAAACGGAGUAAAAGAUCGAUCCCCGUGAGUUGACACCGGGUUAGUUGUAUUAAGUGUAUGUAGUGUAUUUUACGUACAAUUUACGAAAUUCUAAUCAACGAAAAACCCUGGAACCUACAAUCGCCAUCGAGGAGGCACGAUUUAGUCCCGACAGCCGCUCGGAAAGGGGAAUAGGCGAGAGAAUGGCGUCGCCCUAGAAUGUGUUCAAACUCGAGGCAAUGGUAGUACUUACAAUAAAAAUCCGGGGCAUCUCCUACUGUAAGAUAUUCACUGAAAAUUAAACAACAAGUGCAGCCCGCCAUCUUGAAUUACCCAAGAGACUCACAGAUUGCAAAUAGGGUCUGACCAGGCUGCGUGCUAUCAACUGAUAGCACGCAGCCUGGUCGUUUGAUGACAGCGUCAAAGUUCACCGUCAAGUCUCAAAUUGUUUUCAGAUUUAUCAAGGGAGUAUCCAAGAGUACGGCUUCAACCCGCUUGUUCUACCGAUCUAAGUCCGUGUCUAUGGAGCUUUCCAUGCCCUAGAGAAGACAACUGUUGGGCAAGCUUAUAUUGUUAUGCAUUUAUUCCGAGAAGCAAUAGAUAAAGAAGUCGCAAGUGAUAGGUAUUUUACUGCCCAAAAAAGGCGUAGAGCGCUCGGAUACAUUUUCAAAAAAUAAAAUAUAUCAAAACACACAUAUAAAAAAUCGUCGUUGUAGUUCAGAAGCUAUUCAGUUUCAAAGUCUACCAAAAUCGUUAACAGCCCAAUAGAUAAAAAAACUAUUCAUGGGCUCAUUAUUCAUCCGUUUAAGGAUCGCUUCAGACUCCACAAAUCUUACCACACAAAUUCUUGUAUACAACCUCCCUGAGACUGUAGUAUUCUUUGCUCUUAUUUCCGUACCUGAUUUUCUUUUUACUAAAUAAUUUUAUACUCAAUAAAAUUUCACUUUAUUAAAUAUAAACAUUAUCAAAGCAGUGUUAAAAUUUAAUAAAUUUUUUACCCACCCGUUUGAGUUAGCAUGAACUAAGUAGAA